GGCGCGGUGAGCGCGGCGGGGGAGCCCCCGAGCUGCCUACGGUCCCCGCCCCCGGCCGGAGUGGCCCGGGCCGGUCGCGCCACGUGGGGCCGCCCGGGUCCCCGAGCCCCUCAGUAACCGUAGUGAACGGGGCUGCAGGAGCCGCUCCCGGCCCGGCCCUUCGUCACCGCGCCCUCCGCCGCUGGGAGAGACGGGGCGCCGAGCGUCCAGACCUGUCCCGGGGUGCAGAGCAGGGGCGCCGAGCGUCCAGACCUGUCCCGGGGUGCAGAGCAGGGGCUCGGGACCCGGUGGCCCCUGCCACCGCUACCUGGCGCUCGGGUGCCAGCCUCCAGGUCUCGCGACUCCGCAAGAGUGAGCACCCCUGGGUGCUAGGAGGAUCGCAGACUGCCCCCACCUGCUCCUCCACCCACUCACACCCUCUCUGAGGCCAGCUGGGAACCGAGAGGUCAGAGGCACUGUGGGAAAGCAAGGAGAGCUUGCAGUGAAAAGAAGUUGCAAAGGGCUGUACUGUGUUUGGCACAGAUUUGUUUAUUCAAGGAUGAGGCAGAGGGAGAGAGAGAGAGAAUCCCAAGCGGACUCCCUGCUGAGUGGGAUCUGGUGAUGCUGAGUUCAAUCUCAUCACCCCUGAAAUCAUGAAGUCAGAUCCUGUAACUGAAUCCUACUCAGAAUCCCCCAUGGCUCCAUCUCACUCAGAGCACCGCCCCAAGUCCUUACAAGGGUAUCUAUGUGGCAUCUUGCAGCACAAGCAAGCUCUGGCAAGAAGCAGAGAUUCCAAAUUCUCCUGACCCACGGGGCCUGACAAGGCUGUGCUGAAGGCUGGGACUAGAUCUGGUUCAUGUCUGCAUCCCAAAGACUACAAACAAAUUGUAUUUGGAAAGGAAAAUAUUAUGUGUGUUGCCUUCUUCGAAGUUAAAAUCCAGCCCCAUCAGAGAAAGCCAGUUUUAAGUAUUUUUGUAAUUAUGGCUCCAAGUUUAGUUGGUAAUUUAGACCAUUAAAAACACUUUUUCAUAUUAACUUGUCUAAUCCCCACAAGACUCUAUAAAAUGGGUACUAUUUGUACUCCCAGUUUGCCAGUGGUAAAUACCAGGCCCAGAGACACUCAGUAAGUUACGCAAGGUCACACAGCACUUCUUUUGAUAGGCUAUAGCAUGAGGACUUGAAGCCUUCUUAGGACAGACUAAUUUCCCCAUGUGGUAUGAACACACCUUAGGGUUUCCUACCUCCCCACCUUUAUUUGUGCUGGUUACCUGCCUGGAAGCUCUUUCUUCCUUUCAGUUCAUCUAAACCUGUUAUGGGAAGGGAUGUUAGUCCAGGUCCUCUGAGAGAGCCAACAUGGAAAAAAAUAUCCAAGAGAUUUAUUAGGGAAAAUGCCGGGAUGAGAGGCAGGGAGUGAGGAGGUGAGGAGGGAGCCAGUGGAGGCUGGGAGGGAGGGAGGAAGGAGGGAGAAAAGAAGAUAGGGUGGUUGUAGACUGCAGUGGCUUUCUAAGAAAGUUCAGUACGGCUGACAAAAAGUCCUUAUGCUUCCAGAGGAGCCCUGUGUCUCCUGGGAAUGGGCCUGCCUCCUGCCUCCCUGCCUCCCUGCCUCCCUCACUGAUUAACUGGGACCAGCCCCUGGGAAGUGUGGUCUUGACUCAACUGUUAGGAUGAAUCCAUGGUCUGUUGAUUAGGCUCCAUGCCAGAGGCCUGACAGGUACAUUUUCAUGGCUGCAGAGGUAAGGAAAUAUAUUUGCCAUCUAAAACAACAACCGAAAAAAAUUAAAUCAGUCAACAAGCUGACUAUAUGCACUUCUAUAGGCAUGAAUUCCAUCAGUGCAAGAAUACAUUCUUCCACUUACAGACACUGGGCCAGGUUGAGGGGGGAGGACAGGAAGGGGAAGAAAAGACCAAAGCUGCAAAGUUUCUACUAUUUUUAUGCUACUAAAGAGAGAGUGGCAAACUCAAGUCUCCAAACAAGUCUGAUAAAUGAAUGAAGUGACCUGUCAUAUCAGGAAGGUGAUAGGGAGUGGGGGAGAUGGUGGAAACUGGAGAGCACUGCCCCAUCCCAAGGGAAGCUCCCUCUUCUCAGCACAGCCAACGAUGGAUGGGCCAUGUACAACUAUGUGCUCAGUGUGGCCAGGUCUUUUGAUUCAAGAGAAGCCAGAAAGAGUAGCUCACAUUAUUUUAAAACACCUCAGAGGCCAGGGCGCCUGGGUGACUGAGUGCUUGAGAAUCUGCCUUUGGCUCAGGUCGUGAUCCUGGGGUCCUGGGAUCGAGUCCUGCAUCGGGCUCCCCAUGGGAAGCCUGCUUCUCCCUCUGCCUAUGUCUCUGCCUCUCUCUGUGUGUCUCUCACUAAUAAAUAAAUAAAAUAUUUAAAACAAAAAUAAAAUACCGCAUAGUCCAACAACACACAUCUGCCACCUGAUUUUGGCCCUGGAGGUUAGCUGUGCCAAAGGCCAGUGGCUAAGCCAUUUGGGGAUAUGCAAAAUAGAUCUGGAGUUGGGAUGUGGAACUCAAGUGCUCUGUAGAAUCAAAGAAGGAGAAUGGAGUUUUAUUUUAUAUUUUUAAAGACUUUAUUUAUUUGAGAGAGAGAGAAAGCAAGAGAGCAUGAGUGGAGGGAGAAGGCCAGAGGCUGAAGCAGACUCCCCACUGAGUAGGGAGCCCGAUGACGUGGGGCUUGAUCCCAGGACUCCGGGAUCACGACCCAAGCUGAAGGCAGAUGCUUAACCAAAUAAGCCACCCAGGUGCCCUGGAGAAUGGGGCUUUAGAAGGAGGCCUGAGAGACAGGAGGUAAAGGCCAGGCUGACAUGAGGGCAGGUAGGGGCCCUAUGCAGAAAGGCUGCCAAGUGAAAUGCCCUGUGGAAUUAGAAGUGGUCAAAUAGUCCCUGCAAUUCGAAGUAUGUAAUACUGAGUAUUUAUUCAUUUGCUGUGUUGGGCUAAGGAAUAGCAACACACACACACACACACACACACACACACACUCAUAUGUCAUCCCCUCAUUGCCCAGAAAUGUUCAAGAAUAAUCUACUACACACACAGGGUGAUCAAACUCAUUCUGUUUGACCAGACUUUCCCGGUUUUCAUUCUGAAAGCACCACAUCCCAGGAAAUCCCUCAGUUCUGGAUGACCAGGAGGGCAGGUCACACUAUCAACACACAUCUGCAGUAUGAGUGCAGGCGGCCCCAUGGAUCCCAACCAGCUGCCUUGGCCCUUUGGAGUGGAAAAACUGAUGCGACUGGACCUCAGUCUCCUCCACUCUUUACUGUCCUGCCUGAGCGCUAGCCUGACGGGGAGGCCAAGGAGAAAACAGACCUGUGUUGAUCCGAUCUGUGGACAGACUCCAAGUGCUGGAACCUCCUGCCGCCCUGCAGCACCCUGAAAGCCUCAGAGUCUCUGCUUCCUCCUGUAGGAAAAUGGGGACAGCGAUCCUAGCUGUUUGGUUAUGUCUCAGAGUAGCUGAAGAGGACCCAGUGAGAUAACAGGGGUAGGAAAAGUGGCUGCAUAUGGCAAUAUUUUCUCCUUCUCCAUCUUGAAAUUAUACCAAAGCGUCAAGGAGAGUUAAAAAAAAAAAGCCUCACAAAACUCCAUUUUUA